rnacentral:rRNA from 1 species
UACGGGGGGGGCAAGCGUUGCCCGGAUUUAUUGGGCGUAAAGGGCGCGUAGGCGGCCACGCACGUCCGUUGUGAAAUCGCCCGGCUCAACUGGGCGGGGUCAGCGGAUACGGUGUGGCUAGAGCAAGCUAGGGGGCAAUGGAAUUCCCGGUGUAGUGGUGGAAUGCGUAGAUAUCGGGAGGAACACCAGUGGCGAAGGCGGUUGCCUGGAGCUUUGCUGACGCUGAUGCGCGAAAGCGUGGGGAGCGAGUCCGG